AGAGGCUUGGGGCCGGCGGGACUGGCCAGGAUUAUCUCUGACUCCUUGCACUGAUGUUUACUAAAAUGCCCAAACAGUGAAUGUGCAUUUUUGAUCAAAGCUGUUUGGUCUGGAAAUAUUGCGGGCUUAAAAGGAAGAUUUGAAACCGAGGACUGUUGGUGGACAACAAUUGUGUGCUGGCACCCAGGAUACUGAUUAAACCUGCUUUUCAACAGCAGUACACGAAGGCUCAGUGUCUGCAGAAGCAGCUUCCCCAUCUCUAAUUCGGGCUAGGGGGACAGCAUGUCUUCACCUCAGGAAAAACCUGGUCUGUUCUCCUCCAGUAUCUACCUAGAGGUGUGGGAGUAGGGAGCUGGAGCAGUGCCUUCAGUCUUACUGUGCGUAGGACCACUGUGGAUGUACUCUCCUGAAGGGUCUGAGCCUCGGGCUCUGCGACCUGGAGCCCUCUGUUCUGAUUUCUGUAGAGUCCCCAGGAUGAGACUGCAGGGUUUGGCUUCAUUUCUUUCAAAUAACACCUUUUUUUUUUCAUGAUUAUAAAUAGAACAGUUUUACUGUGAAGAAAACGUAAAGAAGACAUUAAGACUAUGAAAUGACCUGAUAGUCUGCCACAAAGCUCUGCCUGUUUCCAUACGUUUCUUAGCUGUGACCUUAGGGCACACACACCUGUAAAGCUUUCGGUGCACGUUGCUGGUGCAGUGUCCUGGUGAGGGGCAGGCUGCCCUGCAGAUGCCCUAGCGUGGUCGUCGUCGAGUGUUAGCAUCAGUAGCCUUCACGGCAGCGCACCUCUUCUCAGCUUCUCUCUCCCCUUUGCUCUGCCCUCUGGGUCAGCAAUGCUGGCUCCCUUCUCUGCACUGUCUUCCCUUUCGUUAUUGAGGCAUAAAAUUAAUAAGUAAGAAGUAGGUGUAUUUAAGUUAUGCAACUUGAUGUUUUGAUACGUGCAUCUACAUUGUGAAACAGUCAUCACAGUCCAUCUAAUUAACAUAUCCAGCAGUUCAUAUAGUUACCUCUUCUUUUUGUGAUGAAAACACUUGAGAUCUGUCCUAUUAGCAAAUUUUAAAUAUACAAUUGUGAAAUUUAGGUACCAAGUUGUAUGUUAAGUCUCCAGACAUUUACUCUUGCAUAACUAUACUUCGUAGCAUUUGACCAACUCCCCCCUAGGCCUUGGCAACUACUGUUCUAUUGUCCGCUUUUGUAAAUAUCACGGUUUUAGAUUCCACAUAUAAGUUAGAUCAUUCAAGUGUUUAUUUUUCUGUGUCUGGCUUAUUUCACUUAGCAUAAUAUCCUCCAGGUUCAUCCUUCUUUUUUAUGACAGAAUAAUAUCCUCUCAUAAAAAAAGAAGAAAAAAUUAGAAAUACAUGAUCUUAUACGUAGGGGAAUCAAAAAGCUCCGCCAAGAGACAAUUGAAGCUCAUAAGAGACUUUGGCAAAAUUGCAGGAUAUAAAAUCCACACACACAAAAAUCAAUAGCCUUGUAUACGCAAACAGUGCCAUAGCUGAGAAAGCGCUUGUAAGAUCAGUGCCAUUCACAAUUGCUAUAAAAAUAAAUAUCUUGGAAACCAAGGUGAAAAUUACAGAACAUUAAAGAAUAGAAGAAAAUACAUCAAAAAAAUGGAAAAAUUUUCCAUGUUCAUGGAUUGGAAGAAUUAAUAUAAUCAGAAUGUUUAUACUACCCAAAGCAGAUUACAGGUUCAGUGCAAUGAUAAUCAAAAUGCCAUGGAAACUCUUUUAGGAUCUAGAAAACAACAAUGCUAAAAUUCAUGUAGAAGCACAAGAGACUCUGAAUAGCUAAAGCCAUCUUAAACAGCAAAAACAAAACUGGAGGCAUCACAGUACCAGACUUUAAGACACACUGCAGGGUAGUUAUGAAAACUGCAUGGGACUGCCAUGAAAAUAGACAUGCAGACCAAUGGAACAGAACAGAAACUCCAGAAACCAGUCUACACAGCUCCAACCAACCAGUCUUUGACAAGCUAAAAUCAAUCCUUGAAGAAAGGACAGUUUCUUCAACAAAUUUUAUUGGGAAAAUUGGAUCUAUGCAUGCAGAAGUAUAAAGCAAGACCACCAUGUUACAUCUUUUACAAAAAUCAACUCAAAAUAGAUCAAGGAUCUGAAUCUACAACUUGAUAUCAUUAAAUUACUAGAGGGAAACAUUGGGGAAACUGCAGGACAUUGGCAUGGCAGACUUCUUGGAAAAGACCUCAGAAGCAUAGGAAAUAGAAGCAAAAAUAGACAAUGAGAUUACAUUAAGCUAAGAUGCUUCUGCACUGCAAAGGAAACACUCAACAAAUUGAAGAGACAACUGACAGAAUGGGAGAAAGUAUUUGCAAACUAUACAACCAAUAAGGGAUUAAUAUCUAGGAUCUAUAAAGAACUCAAGAAACUCAACAACAACAAAACAAACAAUCCAGUUAAGAAAUGGGCAAGGGACAUGAACAAGUAUUUCUCAAAGCACAUGACAAAGUGCGCAGGCUCACUAGAUAUCAGGAAAAUGCAAAUAAAAUUACAGUGAGAUUUUGCCUCACCCCAGUUGGAAUGGCUAUCAUACAGAAAUCAAAAAAUAAUAAAUUCUUGCAAGGAUGCUGGGAAAAAGGUACCUUAAUACUUGUUGGUAGGAAUGUAAACUGGUAGAACUAUUAUGUAAGACAGUAUGGAGAUUCCUCAGAAAUGCAAAAAUAGAUAUGAACCAGCCAUGCCACUCCUGUGAAUGCACUCAAAUGAAAUGAAGUCAGCAUAUGAAAGAGUUAUUUGUACCCCCAUGUUUAUUGUAGUUAAGUUCACAAUAGCUAAGAAAUGCAAUGAAUCCAAAUGUCCAUCAAAUGAUGACUAGAUAAAGAAAAUAUGGGCCAGCACCGCGGCUCAACAGGCUAAUCCUCCGCCUUGCGGCGCCGGCACACCGGGUUCUAGUCCCGGUCAGGGCACCGGAUUCUGUCCCGGUUGCCCCUCUUCCAGGCCAGCUCUCUGCUGUGGCCAGGGAGUGCA